rnacentral:rRNA from 1 species
CCUACGGGCGGCAGCAGUGAGGAAUAUUGGUCAAUGGCCGGAAGGCUGAACCAGCCAAGCCGCGUGAAGGACGAAGGUGCCAAGCAUUGUAAACUUCUUUUGUCAAGGGACAAAAUCAGGCUCGAGAGCCUGACCGAGGGUACUUGAAGAAAAAGCCUCGGCUAACUCCGUGCCAGCAGCCGCGGUAAUACGGAGGAUGCGAGCGUUAGACGGAUUUAUUGGGUUUAACGGGUACGUAGGCGGACGGUUAAGUCAGCGGUAAAAGCCCGGUGCUCAACCCCGGCGAGCCGUUGAAACUGGCUGUCGUGAGAUGUCGAGAGGUAUGCUGAAUGCGCAGUGUAGCGGGGAAAGGCUUAGAUAUUGCGCAGAACUCCGAUGGCGAAGGCGGCAUACCGGCGGCGAUCUGACGCUGAGGCACGAAAGCGUGGGUAUCGAACAGGAUUAGAUACCCCUGUAGUC